AUGUUGCGCAUCUCCACUCCGACGAGGUACCGGGCAGCACCGUUCCUGAAGCCUCGCACCGCCGUCACCACAGCAAAUCCGCCGAAGCCGCAUAGCCGUGGUCCAACACCACCCGCACUGCCGAGAGAGCGCGAACCAGACCUCCACCAACAUCGCCGUCGAGAAGCAACCACAUCCUCCAAGCGGAGCAAAAGCCAGAUCCACUCCAUUGGCCUUCAUCGACACCGAGAGACUGCCGCCAGAUUCGAUCUGCCCCCCCUCCAACCUCACUCCGGCGCCAUCUCCAUCGGGGCAUCGCCGCGAUCCCCUCACACGGAGGCGGCCGGAAGCCCGCUGCACGCCAGGACACCUUCCUGGCAGUGCCACCUCGGCGCCGCCGCCCCCAUGGCUGAUCCAACGCCGCCGCCACCGCCGUUGUUGGCGCUCCAUCUGCAGCCACCUACCAAUAGCGCUCCUCGCCAGGAUCCGGAGAACGCCCUCGCCGUGCCCCCGCAGUACCUCCAACUGCACCGCGAGCCCCCGCGCCGCCCGCGAGAAGAACGCCGCGCUAGACCACGCCACCCGCGCCUAGGCAGCGCGCCACCAGCCGCCACGCUGCCCGCUAGACGUAGCUCCCCGCGCGAAGGAGGUGCGUCGGGGCGCGCCACCCCUGCCCGCCGCCUUUGA
rnacentral:rRNA from 1 species